ACAGGUGGUCCUCGCGGCCGCCCCGGACGAGCGCGUCGUACCCGGUCACGACAAGACGGCGCAGU
rnacentral:ncRNA from 1 species